rnacentral:rRNA from 1 species
AUUGAACGCUGGCGGCAGGCCUAACACAUGCAAGUCGAACGGUAACAGAAAGCAGCUUGCUGCUUUGCUGACGAGUGGCGGACGGGUGAGUAAUGUCUGGGAAACUGCCUGAUGGAGGGGGAUAACUACUGGAAACGGUAGCUAAUACCGCAUAACGUCGCAAGACCAAAGAGGGGGACCUUCGGGCCUCUUGCCAUCGGAUGUGCCCAGAUGGGAUUAGCUAGUAGGUGGGGUAAAGGCUCACCUAGGCGACGAUCCCUAGCUGGUCUGAGAGGAUGACCAGCCGCCAUGGAACUGGGACACGGGCCAGGCUACUGAGGGAGGGCGCAGUGGGGGAUAUUUGACAAUGGGCGGAAGUCUGGUGCAGGCGUGGCGCGUGUAUGAAAGAGGCCUUCGGGUUGGAAAGUACUUUCAGCGGGGAGGAAGGGAGUAAAGUUAAUACCUUUGCUCAUUGACGUUACCCGCAGAAGAAGCACCGGCUAACUCCGUG